rnacentral:misc_RNA from 1 species
GACCUAUUUGCAAGUUUUGAACCUGUUAAUGUUCAAAAUAAUUUAAAAAGAAUGGUCAGUUCUGUAAUAUACAAGGUUUAAAUUGCAAAAGACUUCACAUUGUAAUUGUAACAUGUGAUUUUUGUCUAUCCCACAAAGGAUAGGGAAAAAAUAAAGAAAAAAAAAGGAGGACCCUAAUAAUUUGGCCAUAGAACCAGGCAUGACCCCCAAAAUAAAU